rnacentral:rRNA from 1 species
GACGAACGCUGGCGGCGUGCUUAACACAUGCAAGUCGAACGGAAAGGCCCUGCUUUUGUGGGGUGCUCGAGUGGCGAACGGGUGAGUAACACGUGAGUAACCUGCCCUUGACUUUGUGAUAACUUCAGGAAACUGGGGCUAAUACCGGAUAGGAGCUCCUGCUGCAUGGUGUGGGUUGGAAAGUUUCGGCGGUUGGGGGUGGACUCGCGGCUUAUCAGCUUGUUGGUGGGGUUGUGGCUUACCAAGGUUUUGAAGGCUAGCCGGCCUGAGAGGGUGACCGGCCACAUUGGGACUGAGAUACGGCCCAGACUCCUACGGGAGGCAGCAGGGGGGAAUCUUGCACAAUGGGCGGAAGCCUGAUGCAGCAACGCCGCGUGCGGGAUGACGGCCUUCGGGUUGUAAACCGCUUUCGACUGUGACGAAGCGUGAGUGACGGUAAUGGGUAAAGAAGCACCGGCUAACUACGUG